rnacentral:rRNA from 1 species
AACGAACGCUGGCGGCAUGCCUAACACAUGCAAGUCGAACGAUACCUUCGGGUCUAGUGGCGCACGGGUGCGUAACGCGUGGGAACCUGCCCUUAGGUUCGGAAUAACUCCCCGAAAGGGGUGCUAAUACCGGAUAAUUUCUUCGGACCAAAGAUUUAUCGCCUUUGGAUGGGCCCGCGUUGGAUUAGCUAGUUGGUAGGGUAAAAGCCUACCAAGGCGACGAUCCAUAGCUGGUCUGAGAGGAUGAUCAGGCACACUGGGACUGAGACACGGCCCAGACUCCUACGGGAGGCAGCAGUGGGGAAUAUUGGACAAUGGGCGAAAGCCUGAUCCAGCAAUGCCGCGUGGGUGAUGAAGGCCUUAGGGUUGUAAAGCUCUUUUACCCGGGAUGAUAAUGACAGUACCGGGAGAAUAAGCACCGGCUAACUCCGUG